rnacentral:lncRNA from 1 species
AGAAAUUUAAUUUGAGUGGGGAGACGUUCUCUCCUUUUCAAGCAUCUUGUUUGAAAUAACUGAAUAUCUGAUAAUUUUAUGGGACUGUUUAUUCCCCUUGAUAUUUCAUCAGCAUCUUACAUCUUUAAUAGACUACAAUAGUUUUCAAUUAGAUCCCGUUUUUAUGUAACUUCAUUUCUAAAUACAUUCUCCACAUUUGUCACCUAGAAAAUUAUUCUAAUGAUUCAGUCAGCACAUUGACCAUACAUUGCAUAUUCAUGAUCCAAAACCUCUUCAAAAAGGGAGGGAAGUAUGGUGCCAAAGCAGUGUUUAUACUGCUUUUGCUCAAUUGUUCAGAGUAAAUGUGUACUCCCUCACAUCUGGCUAGAAUAAAAAUCUUUAGCUUCUCUCAAAGAUAUGCUCAACUGCUAUGUCCUAUCAGGUGUUUCCAGCUCCCUGCUUCCCUACCUUGCUAUUGCUUUACUAUUUCAUGGCCUACUAAUCUAUUACUGUGAUUUUUCUUAUAAUUUCUGGUCUCAGAUUCAUAGAAACUAUACUUUCUAAUUUUGACUGUUAAGAUGUUUACAUCUUAGAAUUGUGUAAUAGUAAUAGUAAAUGAGUUUUAAAUGAAUUGAUUUUUGCUAGAGGAAGUCACAUGCUACAGAAGUCCACACAGUAGGAUCUUUGUGUAUUGCAAAUUUCCUCCAGAAUCUGAGCUAACAUUCAUAAGUAGAAUAUCAAGUGAAACAAUCAUAAACUACUAAGAAUUUCAGUCCUCCUUUGAAAGCCUAAUUAUCAAGCUCAUUCUCCUAGUAAUUUCAUAUUGGCCAGUAUCUUAAACUUUUAUACAUGACAUGUUUUCUCCUUGAAACUAGCUAAGGAAGUUACCUCAUUCUCAACUGGUAAAUUUAGAAAGAGCUAUCCAUGCCCAAAUAGCUUCACCACUAUGAAAAGGCUGGAAUAAAUCAUGGCUACUUCCCAAAACGCAAUGUUAUCAUCUAUCUAUCUAUCUAUAUACUUACCAUUUAAAAAAUAAACAAAACCUUGGAUUUACAUACAUAUCAAGGACAUCCUUGACAAAUGACAAGGGAUCAAGUUGGCUUUCACAAAUGUUAUCCUAGAACAGAUCAAAUUUUUAUCCUCAUGCAGUUGGUUAAAAGAUUCAGAUAAAAAAAGUCUCAUUUUGCUUAAAUUGAAGGGACCACAAACAUUGACAUAAAAACUGCAUUUUUGCAGUUAUUCAUUAAAAGUUAUUAUUUGUAUGAGAACCAAAAAUCCCAUGAAAUUUUUCUUAUUGCUGUUGAAAGGACAACUGAUCCAAUUCAUUUACUUGUUAUUCAUAGCUGCAGAUUCCUUUUUGUUUACUAGAUUAAUAUGAUUUAGGGUGUCCAUUUAGCAUUUCAGUGGAUAAUUUCACAUUUGAAAACAUUUGAAGUACCAACAAUUAUUGAUAAGUGAUAUGCUGCUUCUUCCUCCCAUUUCCCCCACUCUGCCUCUGUCCCUGAAGAACUGAAUAGCUUUAAUGGGUAGUCAUGGUCAAAUAAUGUACCUUCAGAUGAGCUUCUGAUGAGAUGACAUGAACACUUUUGGUUGGUCUUCCAAUUGGAGACAAUCUCCAAUAGUACCCAUUCUUUCUAACACAGAAGAACCUGUCAGAACUUAUUCUGAAGGAGUAGCUUUAAAGAAUUCAAGGUCCCUGGAAUUGUAGAUAGCUCAUGAAAUAAUAUAUUAUAAAUGUAAGUUUUUAAAAAAUAAUUAUCUAUAAUAAAAAUUAGCCUUAGUAUUAUAGUUAUGUGAGAAUAAUGGCCUCCAGGUUAUCCUGGCAAAGCAAUGAGUUAAUAAAAAUGAAAAGGCAAUAAAUAAAUACAAUAUCUUUUGUCCUGUUAAGUUUUUU